rnacentral:tRNA from 1 species
CCGUAGCUCAAUUGGACAGAGCAACGGACUUCUAAUCCGUAGGUUGCAGGUUCGAUUCCUGCCGG